rnacentral:rRNA from 1 species
GUUGAACGCUGGCGGCGUGCCUAAUACAUGCAAGUCGAGCGAACGGACGAGAAGCUUGCUUCUUUGAUUUUAGCGGCGGACGGGUGAGUAACACGUGGAUAACCUACCUUUAAGACUGGGAUAACUUCGGGAAACCGGUGCUAAUUCCGGCUAAUAUUUUGAACCGCAUGGUUCAAAAGUGUAAGACGGUCUUGCUGUCACUUAUACCUGGUUCCGCGCCGCAUUAGCUAGUUGGUAAGGUAACGGCUUACCAAGGCAACGAUGCAUAGCCGACCUGAGAGGAUGAUCAGCCACACUGGAACUGAGACACGGUCCAGACUCCUACGGGAGGCAGCAGUAGGGAAUCUUGCACAAUGGGCGAAAGCCUGACGGAGCAACGCCGCGUGAGUGAUGAAGGUCUUCGGAUCGUAAAACACUGUUAUUAGGGAAGAACAUAUGUAUAAGAAACUGUGCACAUCUUGACGGUACCAAAACAGAAAGCCACGGCUAACUACGUG